GAUUGCCCGCCUGGUGAGUUCUGCCUUCUAGCAGGAAAUUCAAAUAACCCUAACAGCCAGUUUAAAUGCAAACCCUGUGAUUGUGCUCUCUUGACUCAAGUUAUUUGGUUGAUCAGCUAGUAGGACCACUUGAUUGUAACUGUACAGGCUCCGGAUUCACUGGCGAAACAUGCCAUGAAGACAUUGACGAGUGUGCAACAAACACAGACAAUUGUGAUACGAAUGCAGCAUGCCAAAACACAAAUGGAAGUUUUACAUGCGCUUGUAACGCAGGUUGGACUGGCAAUGGAGUUACA